CCUACGGGAGGCAGCAGUGGGGAAUAUUGCACAAUGGGGGAAACCCUGAUGCAGCGACGCCGCGUGAGUGAAGAAGUAUUUCGGUAUGUAAAGCUCUAUCAGCAGGGAAGAAAAUGACGGUACCUGAUUAAGAAGCCCCGGCUAACUACGUGCCAGCAGCCGCGGUAAUACGUAGGGGGCAAGCGUUAUCCGGAUUUACUGGGUGUAAAGGGAGCGUAGACGGCGAGACAAGUCUGGAGUGAAAGGCCGUGGCCCAACCCCGGGACUGCUCUGGAAACUGCCUGGCUGGAGUACAGGAGAGGUAAGUGGAAUUCCUAGUGUAGCGGUGAAAUGCGUAGAUAUUAGGAGGAACACCAGUGGCGAAGGCGGCUUACUGGACUGUAACUGACGUUGAGGCUCGAAAGCGUGGGGAGCAAACAGGAUUAGAUACCCUAGUAGUC
rnacentral:rRNA from 1 species